rnacentral:rRNA from 1 species
UACGUAGGCAGCGAGCGUUGUUCGGAAUUACUGGGCGUAAAGCGUGCGCAGGCGGUUGUGUAAGACAGAUGUGAAAUCCCCGGGCUCAACCUGGGAACUGCAUUUGUGACUGCAUCGCUAGAGUACGGCAGAGGGGGAUGGAAUUCCGCGUGUAGCAGUGAAAUGCGUAGAUAUGCGGAGGAACACCGAUGGCGAAGGCAAUCCCCUGGGCCUGUACUGACGCUCAUGCACGAAAGCGUGGGGAGCAAACAGG